GAUGGACGCUGGCGGCGUGCCUAAUACAUGCAAGUCGAGCGAACAGACGAGGAGCUUGCUCCUCUGACGUUAGCGGCGGACGGGUGAGUAACACGUGGAUAACCUACCUAUAAGACUGGGAUAACUUCGGGAAACCGGAGCUAAUACCGGAUAAUAUAUUGAACCGCAUGGUUCAAUAGUGAAAGACGGUUUUGCUGUCACUUAUAGAUGGAUCCGCGCCGCAUUAGCUAGUUGGUAAGGUAACGGCGUACCAAGGCAACGAUGCGUAGCCGACCUGAGAGGGUGAUCGGCCACACUGGAACUGAGACACGGUCCAGACUCCUACGGGAGGCAGCAGUAGGGAAUCUUCCGCAAUGGGCGAAAGCCUGACGGAGCAACGCCGCGUGAGUGAUGAAGGUCUUCGGAUCGUAAAACUCUGUUAUUAGGGAAGAACAAAUGUGUAAGUAACUAUGCACGUCUUGACGGUACCUAAUCAGAAAGCCACGGCUAACUACGUG
rnacentral:rRNA from 1 species